rnacentral:rRNA from 1 species
AUUGAACGCUGGCGGCAUGCUUUACACAUGCCAGUCGAACGGCAGCGCGGGCUUCGGCCUGGCGGCGAGUGGCGAACGGGUGAGUAAUGCAUCGGAACGUGCCCAGUAGUGGGGGAUAGCCCGGCGAAAGCCGGAUUAAUACCGCAUACGACCUGAGGGUGAAAGCGGGGGACCGAAAGGCCUCGCGCUAUUGGAGCGGCCGAUGUCGGAUUAGCUAGUUGGUGGGGUAAAGGCUUACCAAGGCGACGAUCCGUAGCUGGUCUGAGAGGACGACCAGCCACACUGGGACUGAGACACGGCCCAGACUCCUACGGGAGGCAGCAGUGGGGAAUUUUGGACAAUGGGGGCAACCCUGAUCCAGCCAUGCCGCGUGCGGGAAGAAGGCCUUCGGGUUGUAAAACGCUUUUGUUCGGGAAGAAAUCCUCUGGGCUAAUACCCCGGGGGGAUGACGGUACCGGAAGAAUAAGCACCGGCUAACUACGUG